CUGAGUGAGGGCCCUCUGGGUCCAACCUCCCACCCGUGUUUAUUGUACCUUGUUGCUUCGGCGGGCCCGCCCUUGUGGCCGCCGGGGGGCAUCUGCCCCCGGGCCCGCGCCCGCCGAAGACACCAUUGAACUCUGUCUGAAGAUUGCAGUCUGAGCAUAAACUAAAUAAGUUA
rnacentral:misc_RNA from 1 species